AGCCACAAAUUCUGGAAGCCAACCCAUUACAGCAGAGGAAAGUAGAGUCAGGCGCCUGGUUAGAGCAGUUCCUCUUCCUCAGGGGCUUCCUCAUGAUCACAAGCAGAACCCAGUCUGCACAGGCCACAAGUUUUGUGUCUGUGUGUGUUUGGAAAGGAGGCAGAUCUUCUGUAAACUUGUGGCAACUGGAAGAUGCCAUGACCCGCCUUUUUACAGGUCUACUCUAUCUUGGACUGAGUCUGGACCUCAGAAUCCCAGUAUUGGCAGGUGAGUGUCUUCUCAGCUGUCCCAGUUUGGACAUCCUUGGUGGGGACCACAGGUAAUUCCUGAACAGGGAAAAUGAAGGACAGUUGGUGUGGGGGUAAUGCUGGGGAUACCUGAAAUUUCCUGAGUCUGAGAAGCUGAUAUCUGAGGGAGAGUUCUGGGAAAGCAGCUGUCAAUUUUCUUUCAGGGGCCCUCUCUAAACCUACACUCCAGGCAGUGCCAAGAAAUGUGGUAGCCAUUGGCAACCAGGUGACAUUCUUCUGUGAAGGGCCCUUAGAGGCCAAGGAAUAUGUUCUCUACAAAGAAGAAAGUCCAGAUUACCCAAUACCAACAACCCUUUUAGAAACUGAAAACAAAGUCACAUUCUCCAUCUCAUUGGUUGAAUGGAACAAUGCAGGCCGAUAUUGGUGUGAAUAUAAAAGCAAUAACGAUAUGUCAGAAAGAAGUGACUUCCUGGAGCUGGUGGUUACAGGAUUCUACUCAAUCAAAGUCACCUUGUCUGCCAUUUCCUGCCCUGUAGUGGCCUCAGGAGGGCACUUGACCCUUCAGUGUGUCUCAGACCAGACAUAUAAUAUGUUUAUUCUAAUGAAGGAAGAUGAGAAGUUCUCCAGGCCUUUGCCCUCACAGAAUAUACACCCUGAGCUAUUUGGAGCCCUGUUCACUGUGGGUCCUGUGACCCCCAACCAGAGGUGGAGGUUCACAUGCUAUGGGUAUGAUUUGCGCAUCCCUCAGGCGUAGUCAGUGCCCAGUAACCACCU